UACAGAGGUCUCGAGCGUUGUUCGGAUUGCAUUGGGCGUAAAGGGCGCGUAGGCGGUGCUGUAAGUCUGUAGUGAAAUCUCUGGGCUCAACUCAGAGUCUGCUAUAGAAACUGCAGUGCUGGAGUGUGGGAGAGGUGGAAGUGGAAUUCCCGGUGUAGCGGUGAAAUGCGUGAGAUAUCGGGAGGAACACCUGUGGCGAAAGCGGCUCACUGGACCACAACUGACGCUGAGGCGCGAAAGCUAGGGGAGCAAACAGG
rnacentral:rRNA from 1 species